UUAAGCUGAAAGAGGGUGGAUAUAGAUAGGAUAUUGGGAAGAAAUUCUUCCCUGUCAGGGUGGUGAGGCCCUGGCACAGAGAAGCUGUGGCUG